rnacentral:tRNA from 1 species
GGGGGUAUAGCUCAGUUGGUAGAGCGCUUGUCUCACAUCGCACAAGGCCCUGGGUUCAAUCCCCAGCACCACCA